ACGCGAAGAACCUUACCUGGGUUCGAAAUGCAGGUGUAAGCCUCAGAGAUGAGGUCCCCUCUUCGGAGGCACCUGUAUAGGUGCUGCAUGGCUGUCGUCAGCUCGUGUCGUGAGAUGUUGGGUUAAGUCCCGCAACGAGCGCAACCCUUGUCCAUAGUUGCUAACGGGUAGUGCCGAGAACUCUAUGGAGACUGCCGGUGAUAAACCGGAGGAAGGUGGGGAUGACGUCAAGUCCUCAUGGCCUUUAUGUCCAGGGCUACACACGUGCUACAAUGGGCGGUACAAAGAGCUGCGAUCCCGCAAGGGGGAGCUAAUCUCAAAAAGCCGCUCUCAGUUCGGAUUGUUCUCUGCAACUCGAGAGCAUGAAGCUGGAAUCGCUAGUAAUCGCGGAUCAGCACGCCGCGGUGAAUACGUUCCCGGGCCUUGUA
rnacentral:rRNA from 1 species